CUGACAUUGCCCAGCAAGGCAGUCUAAGCAAACAGAGUGGCAAUGACCUUGUAAUGACACUGUUUACAACACACUUGCCAAGAAGGCGAGGAGGCCAUCAUCCGGGGACUACUGCAUCAUCAAAAAAACCACCUGCUCAGCGCCAACUCAGAACCACUCCCUCUCCUCUCAAAGUCCACGUGCUAAUGGAAUUUGAAAGGUCUCCCAGGAGAAUGGCAAAACAUGAUAAGUCUCUGCGGCCUUCUUCCAUCACGUGACAGAAAAUUUCAGAUGGAGAGGAGGCGGGAGGAUGAGAUAGAGGCACCAGUGGAGGAAGAGGCUAGAUAAUGCUCCAAGUGCCACCACAAUAGCUCAUGCCAAGAGGGGAGAAGACCUCUGGACUACAGCUAAAGGUCUGAUCAGGAAUUUAAUCCUCAGAUCAGUAACAUUCUUUGCAAAGUGGCUUUCGCAUGAAGUCCCACCCCUACCUGAGGAGGCUGCUGAGGAAGACGUGGUCCCUGCAAUGCAACCUCUGCUCCAGCUUGUUGCUGUUGUUUCUAAUAUAGAGUCUAUGAAGUUGGGAGGGAAAAGGAUGCGGGAGAUGGAGAAGGUAGGGGGAAGAGAAGCAGUAGACUGGACCAGAAUUCAUUUUAUGCCUGUAUAAAAACCUCAGACAUUAAGAAUUUUAUCAUUUGGACUAUGGUCAGGCCAGACCAUCUAAAAAUAGUUUUUGUGACAAACAUCAGAACAGCCUCACCUGUGUCUGCCAGGGGACCUUCUCUACCGGCCUUGUCUCACUGUCUGUCCGGAACCCUCCUCUGCUGAGGUCGUUACUGGUUAUAUUUGAGACCUGUGGCUCAGGCAUCAAGGAACCAAGAAACAAAACUUACGCCAACCAUUGCUCUACCACAGCUUGCUCCCUUUGACCACUGUAGGACAAUUCCCACAAACACAAGAUUAAACUUACUUGGGCAGAAUCUCUAGGUUUGGAAUAGGGAUCUAAAGGUAAACUAAUCAGAUGCCUCUUGAUAGAAUUGCUUUUGCAGCAUAAAUUUUCACUGCUGUUGAUGGAACCCACUGCCUUCCUUCCAAAGGAAAAUGUUCUGUACACAAAGAAUUGGUCAAGAAUAAUUUCCUUAGGCUAGAAAGAGGCUUAGCCAUUGAAGGCUGCUCUUCCAGGGGACACAGUUUUGAUUGCCCACACCCACGUGGCUGCUCAGAACUGGCUGUAACUCCAGGUCUAGGUGAUCUGGUGGCCUCUUUUGGCAAGGACCAGGCAUGCACAUGGCAUAUAGUCAUGCAUGCAGGCAGAACACCCAUAUACAUAAAAUAAUUUUCUUAAUUAAAUCAUAUUUCUCUCUUAAGGUAAAUCUGACUGUCUGCAAUUUACAUCUAGGGGCCUUAGAUUGGCUCCUGGGAUCAUAUUGGAUGCAAAACUAGACCCUCUUUUGGAAGAGAUGCUAUGCUGUGAAGCCCACAGCAGAGCCGAAGGUCAGUAGACAGGGAGACAAGCUCGUUGUUAGCACACAGUCUGAUCUGAGAAAGCAUGGAAGAAGGUCAUUGGGGUGAUAGAUACAAAGACAGCGUCAUUCUGAAACGGGCGAUUCUAACCAGAAUCUUUUCUUUAAAUCACAAUGGUCCCGAGAGAACCAGGAAAGUGGUGAGUGCCUGCGUUUCAUGCUCUCUAGCCGUCUUUGAACUUCUAUCAGGGAACACACUUUAAUGUGGAGAACCCAUGGAAGACAAGAGAUUGCAGACGGAGAGAUCCAGCUCUGGGCCGUUUCAAGAGCUCACUUUGUAGGUGAAAAGAAGACCAAAGAGAAAUGCUACAACAGUCACUUUUCUUUGGCUUCAAAGGAAAGCAAAGACGGGCUAUCUUUUUAAAUACCUUUUUCUAUUAUUAUUAGAAGGAGAUUGAUCGUUUACAUCUUCUCUUUGACUUUUGUACAUUUAACUGGUGCCAUUCCUAUCCUAGUUUCAUUUUCUGUUGAUGCAAUAAAAU
ensembl:lncRNA